UACAGAGGGUGCGAGCGUUAAUCGGAAUUACUGGGCGUAAAGCGUGCGUAGACGGUAGCGUAAGUCAGAUGUGAAAGCCCCGGGCUCAACCUGGGAAUUGCAUUUGAGACUGCUCUGCUCGGGUGCGGAAGAGGGAAGCGGAAUUUCCGGUGUAGCGGUGAAAUGCGUAGAUAUCGGAAGGAACACCAGUGGCGAAAGCGGCGCGCUGGACCUCUACUGACGCUGAGGCGCGAAAGCCAGGGGAGCAAACGGG
rnacentral:rRNA from 1 species